UGCAAGUCGAGCGGAGAUGAGGUGCUUGCACCUUAUCUUAGCGGCGGACGGGUGAGUAAUGCUUAGGAAUCUGCCUAUUAGUGGGGGACAACAUUCCGAAAGGAAUGCUAAUACCGCAUACGUCCUACGGGAGAAAGCAGGGGAUCUUCGGACCUUGCGCUAAUAGAUGAGCCUAAGUCGGAUUAGCUAGUUGGUGGGGUAAAGGCCUACCAAGGCGACGAUCUGUAGCGGGUCUGAGAGGACGACCAGCCACACUGGGACUGAGACACGGCCCAGACUCCUACGGGAGGCAGCAGUGGGGAAUUUUUCGCAAUGGGGGCAACCCUGACGAAGCAAUGCCGCGUGGAUGAAGAAGGCCUUCGGGUUGUAAAGUCCUUUCGUGGGGGACGAAAAGGCGGAUCCGAAUACGGUCUGCUGUUGACGUGAACCCAAGAAGAAGCACCGGCUAACUCCGUGCCAGCAGCCGCGGUAAUACGGAGGGUGCGAGCGUUAAUCGGAAUUACUGGGCGUAAAGGGCGCGUAGGCGGUGGGUUACGUCUGCCGUGAAAUCCCCGGGCUUAACCUGGGAAUUGCAUUCGAUACUGGGAAGCUAGAGUAUGGGAGAGGAUGGUAGAAUUCCAGGUGUAGCGGUGAAAUGCGUAGAGAUCUGGAGGAAUACCGAUGGCGAA
rnacentral:rRNA from 1 species